rnacentral:rRNA from 1 species
CCUCAGAUCAGGCAAGAAUACCCGCUGAAUUUAAGCAUAUUACUAAGCGGAGGAAAAGAAACUAACCAGG